rnacentral:rRNA from 1 species
GUCCUUUUGAAUUUAAUAUAAGGUCUGACCUGCCCACUGAUAAUUUUAACGGCCGCGGUAUACUGACCGUGCAAAGGUAGCAUAAUCAUUAGUCUUUUAAUAGAGGGCUGGAAUGAAAGGUUUGACGAGGAACUGACUGUCUCAUUUUAUUUGUUUUAAAAUUUAAUUUUUUAGUUAAAAAGCUAAAAUUCUAUUGGUAGACGAGAAGACCCUAUAGAGCUUUACAUGGAAUUACUUUGAUGGUUUUAUAUUAAUAUUUCUAAUUAAAUUCGUGUUUUGUUGGGGUGACAAAAAUAUACAAUUAACUAUUUUAUUUAAAUAACAUUGAUUUAUGAUUAUUAGAUCCAUUAUUAUUGAUUAUUAGAUUAAGUUACCUUAGGGAUAACAGCGUAAUCCUCCUCCAGAGUUCAUAUUUACAGGAUGGGCUUGCGACCUCGAUGUUGAAUUAAGAUAAUAGUUAGGUGUAGCCGCUUAAUUAAUAGGUCUGUUCGACCUUUAAAUUCUU